rnacentral:lncRNA from 1 species
CUGCACCAAAGGUGGUCCCUGUGGAACCAUGCCUCCUGGUGUUCCUGCUUUUCAGUGGUCUCUGUGUCAACAGCGGUAGAAGUGACACAGUGUCAGUUCAGGACCUGCCCUUUAAGAGAACUGGCAGCUUCUAAUUCCUUCCUUCUGAAAUGUCAUUCUUUGCAAGCUCUGAAAUGUUGUGUAAAAAUUUGGGCCACCUUGACCAUGAGGAGAGGCUUCAUGGACAGAAAGGAGCUCACCUUUCUCAGCAUUCCAGCUAGCUCACCUACAGCCCAGACUCCUGCGAAAAUUGUCUUGGAAGUUCUAGCCCAGUCAAGCCCUAUAGUUGACUGUAGCCUCGGAUGACAUCACAUGGACCUUCGAGAACUACACAGCUGAUCUCAAUACAACCACAGAAUUUAGAGGCCAAAGGAAAAUUUGAAGAGAAACUUCCAGAACUGUAUUAUUCCCUCCAAAAUAACAGAGGUUCAGAGAAACUGAGUGUAAAGUGCUUCAAAUAUAAUCAAACUAUCUCCAGUUGCUUGGCUUUAAUCUCAUCAUCAUAGUCAUAUCUCAUUACAAAAUGAAGCACACAGACCAGACAUAAAGAAAAUGUUAUUGGCACUCAACUGCAGUUUUUAAAUCCAGAAAUCUUAGACUACUUAUGGGCAUAAUCUUGUUAAUCUUCAUAAUAUGAUGAGGUUUUGGUCACACUGUUGAAUUCCACACCAACAUGGUGGGUAACAGAACUCUUGCUGACAAACCCAUCUCCCAGAUGGCAUUGAGGAUUGAACUAGGAAAAGGCAUGAAAUCAGGCCCUCUCUUCUUCAAGGAAGACCAUGAACCGGAGCUGUGCAGAUGCUGGGAGGGUUUUCCUACUCCUCAUUCUUCAUUUCCUGUGAUCCUCAAAUUGAUUCUCUGCAUGAAAUCCACCAACUGACACAGUAUAUCUCAAGGCCUCUCCUUUUGUCAUCUAUAAUACUCUUGUAUGGACAUGUACCUAUCUUUUAUUCUGUCCAUGUAAGGACAGUUUAACUUACCAAGCUAAUCAGGA